rnacentral:rRNA from 1 species
GUCCUGGCUCAGGAUGAACGCUGGCGGCGUGCCUAACACAUGCAAGUCGAACGGAGUCGUUUUGGAAAUCUCUUCGGAGAUGGAAUUCUCGACUUAGUGGCGGACGGGUGAGUAACGCGUGAGCAAUCUGCCUUUAAGAGGGGGAUAACAGUCGGAAACGGCUGCUAAUACCGCAUAAAGCAUCAAAUUCGCAUGUUUUUGAUGCCAAAGGAGCAAUCCGCUUUUAGAUGAGCUCGCGU